AGAAGAAAUCCAAAGGCCUCUCUGC
rnacentral:piRNA from 1 species